AGCCUUCUGCCAGAUCAAGGUCUUCUGCGACAAGGGUGCCGAGCGCAAGAUACGAGACGAGGAGAGGAAACAGAAUCGCAAGAAAGCCAAAGCGAAAGACGGCA